AUACGGAGGGUGCGAGCGUUAAUCGGAAUUACUGGGCGUAAAGCGUACGUAGGCGGUUGGUUAAGUUAGAUGUGAAAGCCCCGGGCUUAACCUGGGAACUGCAUUUAAAACUGGCGAACUAGAGUUGAGUAGAGGGGAGUGGAAUUUCAGGUGUAGCGGUGAAAUGCGUAGAGAUCUGAAGGAACACCAGUGGCGAAGGCGACUCCCUGGACUCGAACUGACGCUGAGGUACGAAAGCGUGGGGAGCAAACAGGAUUAGAAACCCUAGUAGUCC
rnacentral:rRNA from 1 species